AUUGAACGCUGGCGGUAUGCUUAACACAUGCAAGUCGAACGAUGAGAAAGAGCUUGCUCUUUCGAUUAGUGGCGGACGGGUGCGUAACGCGUAGGAAUCUACCUAUUAGUGGGGGACAACUUAGGGAAACUUAAGCUAAUACCGCAUACGCCCUACGGGGGAAAGAAGGGGAUCGCAAGAACUUUUGCUAAUAGAUGAGCAUGCGUAGGAUUAGCUAGUUGGUGGGGUAAAAGCUCACCAAGGCGACGAUCCUUAACUGGUUUGAGAGAAUGAUCAGUCACACUGGAACGGAGACACGGUCCAGACUCCUACGGGAGGCAGCAGUGGGGAAUAUUGGACAAUGGGCGAAAGCCUGAUCCAGCAAUACCGCGUGUGUGAAGAAGGCCUUAGGGUUGUAAAGCACUUUCAAUUGGAAGGAGGCUCUUUUGGUUAAUACCCAAGAUGAGUGGACGUUACUCGCAGAAUAAGCACCGGCUAACUCUGUGCCAGCCGCCGCCGUAA
rnacentral:rRNA from 1 species